rfam:Camelus ferus unplaced genomic scaffold scaffold1891, whole genome shotgun sequence.
GAGGGUAUAGCUCAGUGGUAGAGCACGUGCUUGGCUUGCAUGAGGUCUUGGGCUCAAUCCCCAGCACCUCCA